GAUAUAUGAGAGUCAAGCCACAAAGUCAUUGAAGCUAAGAAAAUUUUGAAGCAUUCAAAGAGAUUUGGAGAUCAAGAAUACAAUUCUUGAGUUUUUCUAUCUUUUUUUAUUCUCUUUUUCUCUUAGUUUUGUUUUUAAUAUUUAAAUUUUAUUCAAUGAUGAUGUAUGACUUGAUGGAGAAUUAAGUUUUUAAUUUAAGAUUAUAAUUGAACUUAAUAUGUAGUCUGAUUUAUUUAUCUCUCUUUUACUUAUAUUUGAUAGAUUUAAGUUGUUUAUUUUAUUCUAUUCUUAAUGCUUCUAAUUGCCUGAUUACCAAUUAGAUUGAAUUGAAAAUCUAGGUUAAACUUUGACAAAG
rnacentral:lncRNA from 1 species